GUCCCCGUAGCUCAACGGAUAGAGCGCUUCCCUGCGGAGGAAGAGACUACAGGUUCAAUUCCUGUCGGGGACG
rnacentral:tRNA from 1 species